GACGAACGCUGGCGGCGUGCUUAACACAUGCAAGUCGAGCGGUAAGGCCCUUUCGGGGGUACACGAGCGGCGAACGGGUGAGUAACACGUGGGUGACCUGCCUUUAGCUCUGGGAUAAGCCUGGGAAACUGGGUCUAAUACCGGAUAUGACUCCGCGGUGCAUGCUGUGGGGUGGAAAGCCUUGUGCGGCUGGAGAUGGGCCUGCGGCCUAUCAGCUUGUUGGUGGGGUGAUGGCCUACCAAGGCGA
rnacentral:rRNA from 1 species